GUGACAGACCUACGGAUAAUAUAUGAGGCUCCCGACGGUCCCGGGGCACUAAGCACCGGCUUACUACGGGCCUGCGCCCCCGGCAAUACGCACGGUGCAAGAGUUAAUCGGAAUUACUGGGCGUAAAGCGUGCGCAGGCGGUUAGGUAAGCCAGAUGUGAAAUCCCCGGGCUCAACCUGGGAACUGCCUUUGAGACUGCAUAACUUGAGUGCGGAGAGGGGGAUGGAAUUCUGUGUGUAGCAGUGAAAUGCGUAGAUAUGCGGAGGAACACCGAUGGCGAAGGUAAUCCCCUGGGCCUGUACUGACACUCAUGCACAAAAGCUUGGGGAGCAAACAGGAUUAGAUACCCUGGUAGUCCACGCCCUAAACGAUGUCAACUGGUUGUUGGGAAUGCCCUGACUCAAUAACGUAGCUAACGUC
rnacentral:rRNA from 1 species